rnacentral:rRNA from 1 species
AUUGAACGCUGGCGGCACGCCUAACACAUGCAAGUCGAGCGGUAGCAUGAUAAGUAGCAAUACUUAUUGAUGACGAGCGGCGGACGGGUGAGGAACACGUAGGAACUUGCCCAGAAGAGGGGGAUAACCAAGGGAAACUUUGGCUAAUACCGCAUACACUCGGAAGAGGAAAGUUAUUUAGAGUGAUCUAGAUGACGCUUUUGGAGAGGCCUGCGUCCGAUUAGCUAGUUGGUGAGGUAAUAGCUCACCAAGGCGAUGAUCGGUAACUGGUCUGAGAGGACGGCCAGUCACACUGGGACUGAGACACGGCCCAGACUCCUACGGGAGGCAG